GAAGAACCAGAGCAUCACAUCCAAGAUGCUUUGACUGCACACACUGCUGGAGCUUCAAGUCAACUUAUGACAUGUGAGACAGUCAUUGAGGUUCACCCUCAGCCACACCCUCCACAGGAAGAACUCCUACUAGAGCAUCACAUCCAAGAUGCUUUGACUGCACACACCGCUGGACCUUCAAGUCAACCUAAGACUCCACCUGAAGAAGUUGGUGAAGUGUAUCCAAGGCCACUCCUCCCACAGGAAGAACACCACUAUCAAGAAACAUGUACAUCACCUGAACCCAAAAAUAAGAAGAUGCUGCAGUUCAUUAAACGCAUGUCAUUCUACAACAAAGAUCUUCACAAAGACUGACAAAAGUUACCAAAGAGAGAAAUUAUUAUCGUGAAGAAAUCAAGAAGUAUCAGGAAAUUAUUAAUAAAUUACGGAAUGAAUUGGAUAAUGUCAGAGUUGAAUGCCAGGAAAAUGUUUCAAAAGCAUUA